rnacentral:rRNA from 1 species
UGCGCAGGCGGGAGAUUAAGUCAGUGGUGAAAUCCUGCAGCUUAACUGUAGAAUUGCCAUUGAUACUGAUUUUCUUGAGUGCAGUUGAGGUGGGCGGAAUGUGUAAUGUAGCGGUGAAAUGCUUAGAUAUUACACAGAACACCGAUUGCGUAGGCAGCUCACUAAACUGUUACUGACGCUCAGGCACGAAAGCGUGGGGAGCGAACAGGAUUAGAUACCCUGGUAGUC